rnacentral:lncRNA from 1 species
UGAUUGCAUAAAACAUUUUAUUAGAAAGAAAAUCACAAUGCACAAAAUAAACAAUGAUAGAUAAGAAAUAACAAAAGAUUAUAUCACAGAACAAAAUAUUCUAAGAAAACAGAAUUUUUGGUCUAGUUAUUGCACAAAGCAUCAAAUGCUUAAAACCCCUUCCUUUAUUUUGGUCGUUUCAUGUAUUGUAUACUUCUUCAUUUUCAGAAAUCAUAUAUGAUAAUGAAGUUAAAAUAUUCCACAUGAAGGGCUUUCUGUUUGUAUUGAUUCAAAAAUUUCCUCAAUGUCAUGUUCAAAGGAUUUACAUUUUGUAUUGCAUUAAGUACUAUCGUGUGAUAGUUUCCAUUACUGUAAUUUUAUUUCAUCCAAUGCAGUUUUGAAUAGAUAUUUAAAUUCUAUGCAUCAGAAUCUUCUGUGAUCCUAAAUAAUUGAAGACAACAAUUGCAUUACAUAUGGAAGUAAUCAAAUAUUAAAUAAUUUAUAAGUUUCAAAUUAAUUGAAGCAAUAUUGAAAUUAUUGGCUUUUACAAUCUGUGCACAAUUUAAAGUCUUUGACAUUUAAAUAUACUAAAAUAUUAUAAAUACUAAAGAAUUCUUGUAGCUAUUUUUUUGUGUUUAAAGAAUAAUUACAUUGUGAAGUUUGACACAAUAACAUUAAAUUUUGAUUAAAUCUUAAUGUAAACAGAAAUAUUGGCACUAUCAAAGUGUCCUGACUAGAUCAAUUAAUUAGUAAAUACAUAAACACACAUAUCUACAAAUACAGAUAUAUAUCUUAUGCUCUAUCAACCAUAGCACACAUAGGUAUGAUGAAAUGAGAGUUACUAAUCAUUAAAUACAGACUCUUAAGAGCCUUUUGUCCAAAAACAAAGUAGAGCUUACAGUAGCAAAUAUCAAACAUUUUAUCAAAAAUCUAAUUUACUUAAAUCAAGACACUUUUUUCAUUAAAAUUUUU